GGUAGGAGGCUCCGUGGCGGCCAGAGGGAGAGGGAGAGGGAGGAGGUGGGGAGAGAAAACCCAAUUCACCCCCUUCCUUUUUAAUUCUUUCUCCUGGUGUGUCUGCUCCACCGCCCGAGCUAAUCCCCCAAAUCCGGUCUCCUAAGCCGCAGCUGCUUCCCUUCGCAGUGAUGAAUGGCUCAGGGAGGGAAGGCCCGGGGCAGAGGAAGGGCAGAGAGGUGAACUGGAAGAAUCUGCAGGUGGCUAAGGCUAGGGAGCCUAAAUGAGCCUUUGGAGAAAGGGAUACUCUUGCAGACUGAAGCUGAGCUCCCGAAGCUCCCUCUCUUCCCCAGCCAGACUGCCACAGAUACCAGAGUGGCCCCUGGCUCCUGCUGAGGGCCGGGUCAGCCAGAGGUGAGGGACGGUGUGUCCAGCUGGGGCAGAUCCAGCCUCAGCCUCUACCUCAGACUUACUUAUGUGCCAGGGAACAAACCAUGUCUUUUUGCCCUUUUGUAUUUACCUCCCAACCCCUUUGCCCAACAUAGGUGCUAAAUAAAAGAGCCUGUUGGCUACAAGAACUCUC